UACGUAGGGGGCGAGCGUUGUCCGGAAUCAUUGGGCGUAAAGAGCUCGUAGGCGGUUCAGUAAGUCAGGUGUGAAAGCUCCGAGCUCAACUCGGAGAGGCCACCUGAUACUGCUGUGACUAGAAUCCAGUAGGGGAGUGUGGAACUCCUGGUGUAGCGGUGAAAUGCGCAGAUAUCAGGAAGAACACCAGCGGCGAAGGCAGCUCGCUGGGACGUGACUGACGCUGGAGACGCGAAAAGCGUGGGGAGCAAACAGG
rnacentral:rRNA from 1 species